AACGAACGCUGGCGGCGUGGAUAAGACAUGCAAGUCGAACGGUACAGGUAGCAAUAUCUGUCUAGUGGCGAACGGGUGCGUAACACGUGGGCAACAUGCCUGGAAGAGCGGGAUAGCCCGGGGAAACUCGGAUUAAUACCGCAUGUGACAACGGGGCGGCUUCGCCCUGUUUUCAAAGGUGGGGACCGCAAGGCCUGCCGCUUCCAGAUUGGCCCGCGUCCUAUCAGCUAGUUGGCGGGGUAACGGCCCCCCAAAGCGACGACGGGGAGCUGGUCUGAGAGGACGACCAGCCACACUGGAACUGAGACACGGUCCAGACACCUACGGGUGGCAGCAGUCGAGAAUCUUUCACAAUGGGGGAAACCCUGAUGGAGCGACGCCGCGUGGAGGAUGACGGUCUUCGGAUUGUAAACUCCUGUCAUGAAAGAACAAGCGAUGCGGGUGAACAGCCCGCAAAGUUGAUAGUAUUUCAAGAGGAAGGGACGGCUAACUUCGUGCCAGCAGCCGCGGUAAGAC
rnacentral:rRNA from 1 species